rnacentral:rRNA from 1 species
AGCAGCCGCCGCGGUAAUACGUAGGUCCCGAGCGUUGUCCGGAUUUAUUGGGCGUAAAGCGAGCGCAGGCGGUUAGAUAAGUCUGAAGUUAAAGGCUGUGGCUUAACCAUAGUACGCUUUGGAAACUGUUUAACUUGAGUGCAAGAGGGGAGAGUGGAAUUCCAUGUGUAGCGGUGAAAUGCGUAGAUAUAUGGAGGAACACCGGUGGCGAAAGCGGCUCUCUGGCUUGUAACUGACGCUGAGGCUCGAAAGCGUGGGGAGCAAACAGGAUUAGAUACCCCUGUAGUCCCUGUCUCUUAUACC